AUGAUGGACUAUAGGACAGGACUGCUGCUUUUAACUGUCUGCUGGGCAGGCGUUGAUGGUCAGACUCUGACAGAAUCUGAACCAGUGGUUAAAAGGCCUGGAGAAUCCCACAGAUUGACCUGUACAGCCUCUGGAUUCACAUUCAGCAACCAUGGGAUGAGCUGGAUCAGACAGGCUCCAGGAAAAGGACUGGAGUGGGUUGCCAGGAUUGAUAGUGGUAGUGGCAGCGGCAAAUACUACUCUCAGUCAGUUCAAGGCCUGUUUACCAUCUCCAGAGACAACAGCAGACAGCAGGUGUAUCUGCAGAUGAACAGCCUGAAGACUGAAGAUUCUGCUGUUUAUUAUUGUGCUCGAUACUCACAGUGACUGGAGUUGGUUGAGCAGCUGUACAAAAUCAUACAGUUGAUACUUUUCUACUCUAAACAAAAGACAUGUAUGAAAUUGAUUCAGCACAUUUUGAAUAUUUAAGUAUGGCAGCAUUUAACUUGAUUAAUUACUAUUAUCAAUAAAAUGUAUUUACUUGAAUAUAUUGUGUAUGAAUAUAAAUAUUUUAUAUAGGAAGAUUUUUCAUAUCUUAUAACAACCCAAACAAAAUUAUAAACCACACAGCAUGAUAUUUGAUUAAGACUGUUUUUAUUUUUGACACAAUCAGACACAGAUAAAGGUACAAUGUGGUGAUAAUA